AGUUCUUGAAACUGAUUCUUUUCUAGUACGAUUUGGGUCCCAAAUGCACAGUACACCAUGGAACCAGCUUCAAACUUGGAUAGCCAUUUAGCCCAUAUCUCUUCAAGCAGUGAUGCGGGUUUUUCAGGGAGGAGAGGUCCUGUUAGCAACACUGGCUUGUCAUACUGCUGUGAAAGGUAGUCAAUAAAAGGACCCUCAAUUUCAUAGCAGCUUCUGAUUGCAAAGGCAUCGCUCUGUUUGUUGCUACUAGUCAUUUGCUCAUAAAAUGAAAUACCACUCCCAUUCUCCUCCGAGAAUACUUUUGUCUGGGCAGUUUCAUCUAGUCUCGGUACCACUGUUGAAGAA
rnacentral:misc_RNA from 1 species